rnacentral:rRNA from 1 species
UAAGGAAUAUUGGUCAAUGGACGCAAGUCUGAACCAGCCAUGCCGCGUGAAGGAUGAAGGUCCUCUGGAUUGUAAACUUCUUUUAUCUGGGACGAAAACGGGAUUUUUAUCUCAAUUGACGGUACCAGAGGAAUAAGCACCGGCUAACUCCGUGCCAGCAGCCGCGGUAAUACGGAGGGUGCGAGCGUUAUCCGGAUUUACUGGGUUUAAAGGGUGAGUAGGUGGGCUUAUAAGUCAGUGGUGAAAUCUCCGAGCUUAACUUGGAAACUGCCGUUGAUACUAUAGGUCUUGAAUUAUCUGGAGGUAAGCGGAAUAUGUCAUGUAGCGGUGAAAUGCUUAGAUAUGACAUAGAACACCAAUUGCGAAGGCAGCUUACUACAUAUAAAUUGACGCUGAGGCACGAAAGCGUGGGGAUCAAACA